rnacentral:rRNA from 1 species
AUCCAGACUCCUACGGGAGGCAGCAGUGGGGAAUAUUGCACAAUGGGGGAAACCCUGAUGCAGCGACGCCGCGUGAGCGAAGAAGUAUUUCGGUAUGUAAAGCUCUAUCAGCAGGGAAGAAAAUGACGGUACCUGACUAAGAAGCUCCGGCUAAAUACGUGCCAGCAGCCGCGGUAAUACGUAUGGAGCAAGCGUUAUCCGGAUUUACUGGGUGUAAAGGGAGCGCAGGCGGCUUUGCAAGUCUGAUGUGAAAGGCCGGAGCUCAACCCCGGGACUGCAUUGGAAACUGUAAAGCUAGAGUGCCGGAGAGGUAAGCGGAAUUCCUAGUGUAGCGGUGAAAUGCGUAGAUAUUAGGAGGAACACCAGUGGCGAAGGCGGCUUACUGGACGGCAACUGACGCUGAGGCUCGAAAGCGUGGGGAGCAAACAGGAUUAGAUACCCCUGUA